rnacentral:rRNA from 1 species
UAGGGAAUAUUGCGCAAUGGGGGAAACCCUGACGCAGCAACGCCGCGUGAGUGAGGAAGGUCUUCGGAUUGUAAAACUCUUUUAUUUGGGAAAAAUGUCCUAGUGGCUAAUAUCCACUAGGAGUGAUGGUACCAAAGGAAUAAGGACCGGCUAACUUCGUGCCAGCAGCCGCGGUAAUACGAAGGGUCCAAGCGUUGUUCGGAAUCAUUGGGCGUAAAGCGCGCGCAGGCGGAUCAGUAAGUCAGGUGUGAAAUCUCGAGGCUCAACCUCGAAAUUGCGCCUGAAACUACUAGUCUAGAAUGUCGGAGGGGGCAGGGGAAUUUCACGUGUAGGGGUAAAAUCCGUAGAGAUGUGAAGGAACACCGGAGGCGAAGGCGCCUGCCUGGACGACUAUUGACGCUGAGGCGCGAAAGCGUGGGGAGCAAACAGG